UAGGGAAUCUUCCGCAAUGGACGCAAGUCUGACGGAGCAACGCCGCGUGAGUGAAGAAGGAUUUCGGUUCGUAAAACUCUGUUGUUAGAGAAGAACAGCGCAUAGAGUAACUGUUAUGCGUGUGACGGUAUCUAACCAGAAAGCCACGGCUAACUACGUGCCAGCAGCCGCGGUAAUACGUAGAUGGCAAGCGUUGUCCGGAUUUAUUGGGCGUAAAGCGAGCGCAGGCGGUCAAUUAAGUCUGAUGUGAAAGCCCCCGGCUCAACCGGGGAGGGUCAUUGGAAACUGGUUGACUUGAGUGCAGAAGGGGAGAGUGGAAUUCCAUGUGUAGCGGUGAAAUGCGUAGAUAUAUGGAGGAACACCGGUGGCGAAAGCGGCUCUCUGGUCUGUAACUGACGCUGAGGCUCGAAAGCGUGGGGAGCGAACAGG
rnacentral:rRNA from 1 species